AACACAUGCAAGUCGAGCGCACUCUUCGGAGUGAGCGGCGGACGGGUUAGUAACGCGUGGGAACAUACCCUUUUCUACGGAAUAGCCUCGGGAAACUGAGAGUAAUACCGUAUACGCCCUUCGGGGGAAAGAUUUAUCGGAGAAGGAUUGGCCCGCGUUUGAUUAGAUAGUUGGUGGGGUAAUGGCCUACCAAGUCUACGAUCAAUAGCUGGUUUGAGAGGAUGAUCAGCAACACUGGGACUGAGACACGGCCCAGACUCCUACGGGAGGCAGCAGUGGGGAAUCUUAGACAAUGGGCGCAAGCCUGAUCUAGCCAUGCCGCGUGAGUGACGAAGGCCUUAGGGUCGUAAAGCUCUUUCGCCAGAGAUGAUAAUGACAGUAUCUGGUAAAGAAACCCCGGCUAACUCCGUGCCAGCAGCCGCGGUAAUACGGAGGGG
rnacentral:rRNA from 1 species